rnacentral:rRNA from 1 species
UACGGAGGGGGCUAGCGUUAUUCGGAAUUAUUGGGCGUAAAGGGCGUGUAGGCGGCUUCGUAAGUCUUGUGUGAAAGCCCUCGGCUCAACCGAGGAAUUGCACGAGAAACUGCGUGGCUCGAGUCCGGGAGAGGUGAGUGGAACUGCGAGUGUAGAGGUGAAAUUCGUAGAUAUCGGGAGGAACACCGGUGGCGAAGGCGGCGACCUGGGUCGAGACUGACGCUGAGGCGCGAAAGCGUGGGGAGCAAACAGG